AUCUCGUUCGUCGCCUACUUAACGCGAAAAAUCUCGACAGAUUUUUGCGAACCAAGCAUGGGUAGUAUGCCGUUCUACAUGCUGAUUAUCACCGUAACCAGUUUCACUACAAUAACAGUUUUAGUCAGUGCAACUGAUAAUCCCGCUUUAGAGAUCAAACCAGAUUUGCCAGUAAUUAUUCAGCAAGCUGAAAAGAGUUUGAGUUUAACAUGUAGGCCACGUGUAUCCGAACCCAACCUGAUAAGUCAACUAGAAUGGAGAGAUUCGGUAGGACGCUUGAUAGCAAAUACUGAUCAGAAUGCACUAAUACAU
rnacentral:lncRNA from 1 species